rnacentral:lncRNA from 10 species
UCUCUCUCUUUCUCUCUCUCUCUCUCUUUCUCUCUGGAUAUGUACCUUAGGAGGCCUGAGUUAACAUGUAAGAUGUCUAACUAUCCCGAAGCCACUAUGCUGGAAGGAUCACAUGGAGAGACCACAUAGAGAUACAAAGAUGCCUGAGGAAACCCAGCUGUUCAGCACAGAUGUUUUUUAGUUUUCCCGUUGCCCAGGCAUGCGAGUGAGUGAGCUUUCCAAAGACUUUAACCCCAGCCUUUGAGCUGCCAGAGCUGACAUGAAGUAGAACAGAGAUGAGCUGAGCUUUGCCCCACCUGCAGAUGUAACUUCCCACAUACACCCCUUUUGGCUGAGCUGUAUGGCCAUAAGCGUAGAGACUUGCAGCUGUAUGUGGCCGUGAAUGAGAGAAAUUUACUGGAAUAAAUUCUCUAGACCCAGAGAUGGAAGCUUCACAGCAUUUGUGGCAGUAGCGGCAGAAAUGCAUCACACAUUUGAGUCCCUAGAUGGCCUUGUGGAGAAACGUCUACCUGCCACCCUGGACUAUUAGCUGAAAGAUAAGCGGUGGGUCCUGCUAUCAACUUGUAGUAAAUACCUUCCUUGUUAUGAUAAGGCAUCACACCCUGUUGCAGUCAAAUUCUUAACCACUGCAGUUCCAUCACAGACAUGAAAAAGAUGCAGGCAAGAUAUGGAGUGUCUUCAUGGGGGAGAUUCAGAAGCCAUGGAUGGUGUAGAAAGAAAUAUUCUUCAAACAAAACCUUAUGAGGAACAGAACCAUAGCUCCUGAAACUGUGUGAAAGCAAGAGAAAGAGAGUCUUUUGUCAAUAGUCUGUCCACACAUAUCCAGACCCAACCCAAAGUUACAACCUGACCUCCACGAUCACUUUCCCUCACAGGGACCGCACUAUGAGGAACACGCCAAAGUUGAGAAAGGGUAAGAUUCUUGCCCAACCUCAAGACCAGUGCUAUUCUCUUCACGCCAAGGCAGGAAGAUCACUGAAGCCCAGAAGUUCGAGGCUAAAAUGAGCUAUGAUUGUGCCAACGCACUUCAUCCUAGGCAACAUAGCAAAACCCUAUCUCUAAAAUAUAAACAAGUAAAAUAAAUUUAAAAAUAAUUGUGGCGUGUGGCAAUUAUUGAUAAUGCCUCAUAGCCCCAAAUUCAUCCCUGGUUGCCUUCCCUGUGAAAAUAAAUCUAGGCCCUUCACCUUUAUUUUUUUCUUUUUUGGCUAUCAUGAUGCUAAACUUAUCAGUAGAGGGCAAUACAAAGACAUUUCAAGAAGGCAGAGGCUUCCCUCCUGGUAGUGCACUUUUUCCCCACUGUCUAUUCCACGUGGUUUUCACCAUUGUCAAGGGCUUAGAGGGUACAGCUUUCACAGUGUGUUUUCUACAGUUCUUGACUCAGGAAACAAUGGCAUAGUGGAAGCCCCAGAAAAAUCUGACCUGUGCGCUAGCCCUGUUAACUGCUGCCCACAACCCUGAGUGAUAUGAAUGUAAGGGGUACUGUGGAGCUGAUAAUCAGCAAGCUUGUGGCAUGACCUCCAUCCUGUGUAGCCCAGAGCCACCCUACCCAAGCCACAAAUAGAAAAGCUCUGGGUUUUGAUGCUGACUCUCUAUGGUCCCACUUCUUAGCCUAAGAUCACCUGUGCCCUAGAGAGUUGUACCUACUUCGCCUGGUGACUGUGGACCAGCUCUGCAGGAAGCAAUUUACCAAAUGUCUCUGCGAUCCAGUGGUCAGCAAUUACACCUUCUUCAGUGUGGUCAUAGCCUCUUUCCAAAUUUGUCCUUCCUUAACUACUCUCCCUGUUUUCAUGUUUAUAGUUGUUCUCUUAUCAUUGUUUAAUAAUUUUUAUGUUAAAUUUCCCAUGUUUAAAUUACUAAGUCGAUAUUGUCUCUUGAUUGUACCCAGGCCAAUAAAUGGUACUAUAAAUAUUGUGUUUAUAUUUCAAUAUACAUUGUUUUAAGGUGACUCCCAUGGAGUUUAUAAGCAAGAUAAUGCUUGAGCAAAAUCUAGUACAUUGCAAUAACCUAGGUGACCACAUCAUUUCUCGUGCAAUAAUCAUUUUUAUGUCUCAUAAGAUAUAUGAAUAUAUUAUAAAUUAGAAACAGGAAUAAUUAAACAGAAAACAAUAGCAUAUGACAUGGCAAAGGCAAUAAAAUAAAUAUAUAGGCAAUAUAGGAGCAACUAUGAAAGACUAGGACUUGCAAUAUCAUAUAAAGGAAUUUAAGAACCGAAAUUGAGUAGUCAUUCUUGUUAACAGUGUAUUCAUUUUGUUUUCAUAAUCUUAUUAUCAUGCUGUAACUGUGCUAUAAAAGAGAUAUUGACAAAGACAUGCUUCAGUUAAGGCAGUUUACAUAUGAGCAAAAAAUUUUGGAAACAUUGGAAUUGUUAGUAUAA